GUGUCAGCAGCCGCGGUAAGACAGAGGUGCCAAGCGUUAGGCGGAAUCACUGGGCUUAAAGCGUGUGUAGGCGGGCGGGCAAGUACCUUGUGAAAUCCCACGGCUCAACCGUGGAACGGCUGGGUAUACUGCCUGUCUUGAGCCAGCUAGGGGCGACCGGAACAGACGGUGGAGCGGUGAAAUGCGUAGAUAUCGUCUGGAACGCCAAAGGUGAAAACAGGUCGCUGGGGCUGAGCUGACGCUGAGACACGAAAGCCAGGGGAGCGAACGGGAUUAGAUACCCCGGUAGUCC
rnacentral:rRNA from 1 species